AGGAUAAUAGUUAAUUUAUAUAACAUUUAAUUUGCUUUUAAAAAUUAAAAAAAAAAUUUAUCUUA
rnacentral:tRNA from 1 species